GACAUCCUUGAUGGGUUAUGAGUCCUCUAAGUGGAAAUCAUUAUAAAUCAAGGACCUUUCAACCACUGCGAUAUGUGUCUCUAAAGCAUGAAUUGGAUAUCAUCUUGGCUGGCUAGAUGAUGGAAUCUAAAAUAUCAUAAAAUAUCUUAAAGAUUGUAUGCAAUAAAUAAUAUACAGUGAGGAGCUACAUGUGUUUCUACAUAGUAAAAUUUCAAGUGUGCUGUUUAAAUGUAGUAUGCCAAACAGCAUGCUAGCAUAUAAUAGCUGUAUGCCAAACAAAAAUAAGUGUAUGCCACA
rnacentral:lncRNA from 1 species